rnacentral:tmRNA from 1 species
GGGGCUGACUGGAUUUGACAGCAAAUAUGUUAUUUAAUAAGCAUGCCGAGCAUUGUUUUUUAGCUCGUAAAUAUUAAAAUUCAACUUUUUAAAUGGCGAAAAUAAUUACGCUUUAGCUGCCUAAUUUAUAUAAUUACGUAAGCUUUUGUCUCUUUUAUAGGUGCUCCUGAAACCUAUAAUCUUGAGGCAUUAUAAAAUUCAGGAUAAUUAUUUUAUUGCUUUUAUAAAAUAGUGAAUGAUUAAAAAGCUAAGAAUUAUUUUUUGGUUGCUAUUUUCCAAAAUAAUUUCGAAAAUUAAAAAUAGAUAAGCAUGUAGAAAGUUUCUGUACUGUUUGUUUGGACGGGGGUUCGAUACCCCCCAGCUCCACCA